rnacentral:rRNA from 1 species
AUUUCCUUCGGGACUGAUUAUUUUGUGACUGAGUGGCGGACGGGUGAGUAACGCGUGGGUAACCUGCCUUGUACAGGGGGAUAACAGUUAGAAAUGACUGCUAAUACCGCAUAAGCGCACGGCAUCGCAUGAUGCAGUGUGAAAAACUCCGGUGGUAUAAGAUGGACCCGCGUUGGAUUAGCUAGUUGGUGAGGUAACGGCCCACCAAGUCAACGAUCGGUAGCCGACCUGAGAGGGUGAUCGGCCACAUUGGGACUGAGACACGGCCCAAACUCC